rnacentral:rRNA from 1 species
CAGCAGCCACGGUAAUACGUAGGUCCCGAGCGUUGCCCGGAUUUAUUGGGCGUAAAGCGAGCGCAGGCGGUUAGAUAAGUCUGAAGUUAAAGGCUGUGGCUUAACCAUAGUACGCUUUGGAAACUGUUUAACUUGAGUGCAAGAGGGGAGAGUGGAAUUCCAUGUGUAGCGGUGAAAUGCGUAGAUAUAUGGAGGAACACCGGUGGCGAAAGCGGCUCUCUGGCUUGUAACUGACGCUGAGGCUCGAAAGCGUGGGGAGCAAACAGGAUUAGAUACCCCGGUAGUCCCUGUCUCUUAUACA